GUGUGUGUUCGUGAAGCUUCAGGAGCUCUCAAGAACUCCAAACCCUAAACAUGAAAGAUCAUCCAAAUUGAAAGGCUAAAUGAUGCUUAAAUCUAUAACCGAGCAUGGAUUAAUGAUCACCAACAUGAGGAGAUCAUAAGAUGAAAGUAUAGGAAUAUGAUGAUGUUAUGUUCAAUGUUCAUUUGGAUGGAUAGCAUGUCUACGGGCUCAAGUAUGGAGGCUAACGGGUCAAAAGGAAGCAUGGAACCUAUGCUUGAACUUGGGCGCACAAGGUAAGUGACAUCCAACUCACUUCUUAGUAUACAUAAGAACCUUCUUGUUAUAAAUGAAGGGAAGUCAUGUAUGGUAUGGAAUGAUUGAAGGUAUUAAGAUAAGUAUUAAUCUAGAUAGUCGAAGCUAGUUUGUGGGACUAAACGGGUUGAAUAAUUAUGUAUAAGUAAGGUAGCGGUAAUGAAAUUCGUUAAGAAUGUGGACCCGAGGCAAGGAUUCUUAGUCUAAAAUGUAGGGAAAGGUUUUAUGGACAAUUGGAAACAAGUUAUGUUGAUAUAUGCACGAACGGGUCAAAAUUUCGUAAAAGGGUAAUAAGCCGAAGGCUUAUAAGUCAUAAAGUUAGGUAGUCCAUAUAUUGUAUUUUUAGUCUAUGUGAUAGAGAAUUAAAUUACGGUCGCGUAGGAAAAAGAAUCGGGUAAAACGGAUCAAAAACGAGCAAGUUAUGCAAGUUUUAGUGUGAAAGAUGGGAGCUGAUCUGGGCACCACCGUAGCUUACGAUGCCACCGUAAGCUACGGUGGGAACUGGGCACUUAUUCCUGCCGUAAGGCAGACUAGAACUACCGUAAGCAUUUGGGGCCACCGUAAGCUACGGUAGCCACCGUAGCUUACGGUGGAGGUCUGAUGCAAAUGUAUUGUUUAUGUAAUUUCUUCGUUUUUCCUCGAACUCGGACCCCGUGAACCCAUUCCAAGCCUCGUUAAGUCUUUAUAAUGUUCCUUAACCCUACUAAAUGGCUUGGUAAGUUACGGAUGAGUAUGAAACUCACUUUUAAGAUCCGAAAUAUAUCUGAAAGAUAUUUUAAAAGCAUUUAUGACAUGUGAUUCAGUUCGGGAUGUGUGAGCGUGUACGCGGGGUAAUGAAUUAAGUAUGUGAGUAGGUAUGCUUGUAGGUAUUAAUGUAUGUAUGUAUGUAAGCACCUAAGUAAGUAAGUUGUACGCCGUAAUGUAUGCAUGUAUAUCAAUAUGUGAGUAGGAUGUUUGUACGUAGUAAUGUAUGUAUGUAUGCAUGUAAGUAAGUAUGUGAGUAGGUAUGCUUGUAGGUAUUAAUGUAUGUAUGUAUGUAUGUAUGUAUGUAAGCACCUAAGUAGGUAAGUUGUACGCCGUAAUGUAUGCAUGUAUGUCAAUAUGUGAGUAGGAUGUUUGUACGUAGUAAUGUAUGUAUGUAUGCAUGUAAGUAAGUAUGUGAGUAGGUAUGUUUGUAUGUAGUAAUGUAUGUAUGUAUGUAUGUAUGUAUGUAAACAUGUAAGUAGGUAUGUUUGUACGCCGUAAUGUAUGUAUGAAUGUAAGUAUGUGAGCAGGUAUGUUUGUAUGAAGUAAUGUAUGUAUGAAUGUGUGUAGGUAUGUAUGUACGUGGUUAUGUAUGUAAUGCAUACGUGGUUUCAAUACACUUAAGUAUUGACGUUAUUAACAGUGUGCCUCGAGAAUGAAACGUGGUGCAGGUACCCCAUCGAGGUUCGCUAAGGAUUAGGCACCCGGAUGGAAUGACUACAUCUAGAAAGAUAACGGAUGGAAAGAAUAUGUGGAUAGAACAAAUCGAGACUACACGAUUAAGAAUCUUGUUUGUAUAUAAUGUAUGCUAAUGUUUCGAUUGUAUGUGGUGGGUGCAGGUAGUAUGAAUCACAGAUUUUCAUCACAAGGAGUAGCGAUCAAAGACCGAGUCACAAGUCAGAUUGUACGGGAAUACUUGACUAUGUAAAUUGAUAGUUAUAAGUUAAGCUUUUGUUAUGUAAAUGAGUAUAAAAGAUGCAUAUAAUGUAAGAAAGUGUUUCAUAAUGAACUUGCUAGUAGGUCAAAACGUUUUUAAUGAAAGAAAUUUUUAU
rnacentral:lncRNA from 1 species